rnacentral:misc_RNA from 1 species
GAUGAAGAACGCAGAGAAAUGCGAUAAGUAAUGCGAAUUGCAGAAUUUCCGUGAGUCAUCGAAUCUUUGAACGCACAUUGCGCCCUUCGGUAUUCCGUUGGGCAUGCCUGUUCGAGCGUCAUUAGGAACUUCAAGCUCAGCUUGGUGUUGGGUGCUUGUCCCCGCCCUGCGGCGGACUCACCUCAAAUGCAUUGGCGGCCGGUAUGUUGGCUACAGCGCAGUACAACGCGUCUGGCGUCUUGACAUACUGGUCCUCCAGAAGCCCCUCUUUGACUUGACCUCGGAUCAGGUAGGGAUACCCGCUGAACUUAAGCAUAUCAAUAAGCGGAGGA